rnacentral:rRNA from 1 species
CAGUCGCCACGGUAAUACGGAGGGUGCAAGCGUUAUCCGGAUUUAUUGGGUUUAAAGGGUCCGUAGGCGGAUCUGUAAGUCAGUGGUGAAAUCUCACAGCUUAACUGUGAAACUGCCAUUGAUACUGCAGGUCUUGAGUAAAUUUGAAGUGGCUGGAAUAAGUAGUGUAGCGGUGAAAUGCAUAGAUAUUACUUAGAACACCAAUUGCGAAGGCAGGUCACUAAGAUUUAACUGACGCUGAUGGACGAAAGCGUGGGGAGCGAACAGGAUUAGAUACCCGGGUAGUCCCUGUCUCUUAUAC